rnacentral:rRNA from 1 species
AUGAACGCUAGCUACAGGCUUAACACAUGCAAGUCGAGGGGCAGCAUGGUCUUAGCUUGCUAAGGCCGAUGGCGACCGGCGCACGGGUGAGUAACACGUAUCCAACCUGCCGUCUACUCUUGGACAGCCUUCUGAAAGGAAGAUUAAUACAAGAUGGCAUCAUGAGUCCACAUGUUCACAUGAUUAAAGGUAUUCCGGUAGACGAUGGGGAUGCGUUCCAUUAGAUAGUAGGCGGGGUAACGGCCCACCUAGUCUUCGAUGGAUAGGGGUUCUGAGAGGAAGGUCCCCCACAUUGGAACUGAGACACGGUCCAAACUCCUACGGGAGGCAGCAGUGAGGAAUAUUGGUCAAUGGGCGAGAGCCUGAACCAGCCAAGUAGCGUGAAGGAUGACUGCCCUAUGGGUUGUAAACUUCUUUUAUAAAGGAAUAAAGUCGGGUAUGCAUACCCGUUUGCAUGUACUUUAUGAAUAAGGAUCGGCUAACUCCGUGCCAGCAGCCGCGGUAAUACGGAGGAUCCGAGCGUUAUCCGGAUUUAUUGGGUUUAAAGGGAGCGUAGAUGGAUGUUUAAGUCAGUUGUGAAAGUUUGCGGCUCAACCGUAAAAUUGCAGUUGAUACUGGAUAUCUUGAGUGCAGUUGAGGCAGGCGGAAUUCGUGGUGUAGCGGUGAAAUGCUUAGAUAUCACGAAGAACUCCGAUUGCGAAGGCAGCCUGCUAAGCUGCAACUGACAUUGAGGCUCGAAAGUGUGGGUAUCAAACAGGAUUAGAUACCCUGGUAGUCCACACGGUAAACGAUGAAUACUCGCUGUUUGCGAUAUACAGCAAGCGGCCAAGCGAAAGCGUUAAGUAUUCCACCUGGGGAGUACGCCGGCAACGGUGAAACUCAAAGGAAUUGACGGGGGCCCGCACAAGCGGAGGAACAUGUGGUUUAAUUCGAUGAUACGCGAGGAACCUUACCCGGGCUUAAAUUGCAGAUGAAUUACGGUGAAAGCCGUAAGCCGCAAGGCAUCUGUGAAGGUGCUGCAUGGUUGUCGUCAGCUCGUGCCGUGAGGUGUCGGCUUAAGUGCCAUAACGAGCGCAACCCUUGUUGUCAGUUACUAACAGGUUCCGCUGAGGACUCUGACAAGACUGCCAUCGUAAGAUGUGAGGAAGGUGGGGAUGACGUCAAAUCAGCACGGCCCUUACGUCCGGGGCUACACACGUGUUACAAUGGGGGGUACAGAGGGCCGCUACCACGCGAGUGGAUGCCAAUCCCCAAAACCUCUCUCAGUUCGGACUGGAGUCUGCAACCCGACUCCACGAAGCUGGAUUCGCUAGUAAUCGCGCAUCAGCCACGGCGCGGUGAAUACGUUCCCGGGCCUUGUACACACCGCCCGUCAAGCCAUGGGAGCCGGGGGUACCUGAAGUGCGUAACCGCGAGGAGCGCCCUAGGGUAAAACUGGUGACUGGGGCU